UUCCAAUUAAUAAUAGAGAGAUAUCUCUUGGCCUUCAACUCAUUCCAAAAGGAAAACGGUUUCAUAUUUGGAAACGCCCGUCCAUUUCUGUAAACGCAGGAUUGCAUCCAUAAACAUACGCUGGCGAAAAUAACUGCAUGACAUUCUCGGAUCGCAGAUAUCCUUAUAGAAGCAGCUUAUCUAAACUUUCAAAUACAGAAUGCAGCUAUCUCAUGCCACAUCCAGCCCAAUAUAAUUCGCACGAGACUUGAGUCCGUGCGUCCGUCCGUCCGUGCGUAUAUAUACUCAUCGCAUCAUAAGAAUCCCCAGCUCUUCUUUUCAUCAUCAGCAUCAUCAUGGUAUGUGUGUUGGUUCAGUUUUUUUACUUGAAUGUUUCAUCAAAAUGAGCCAAGCUAUGUUUUUGCCUGACGGAUGUUGAAACGGCAGGGGAUUUGGGCAGGACGUACCUUCUUCGUGCUAUUGCUUGUGUUGGCCGUUCGUUCGGCGGCGGCGGCUCGAUCACCAG
rnacentral:lncRNA from 1 species